GAAUCAUGAUACAGAAACGAAUGUCACAUUUUUACUAUAUAAUAAGAAUUCUGUACAAAAUAAAUAAAUAAUUAAAUCAUAAGGAGACAACGAUCCAACAACCCAAAGUUGACUGAGAAACGAUUUUGCCUAGACCUCUCACGAACUCGUCACAGCAUCCUUCAUGCGCCUCAUCUUGCGGUACCUGUCCUUCACCUGUAUGGGGUGUGAGACAGUAAGAGUGAGCUCACAUACGUUCAUCGCUCAACAAGUUGUGGGGAAUAAUGUGCAUGAACUCACCAAAGGUAGGACCUCAUGUGAAGUGUAAGGCUUACCAAAGGGUAUGGUUGAAGCUGAGUAUUGCUUUUAAAGUUGGUCAAAAUUUUAUUAGUAAUUAUUAAGUAUAAGUAAAUACCAACCCAAUUAAGUAGUACAACAAAAGUAAUAACAACACAUGCGAUACAAUGCAUAUGAUAAAUUGAAUUUAGUUCCAUAAUUAAUCAUGUGAGUGUCCGAGUUGCUCAUGACCGUGAACACGGCUAGUAUACCAGUUUUACACUCUGCAUAGGUUGCGCAUCUUUACCCACAAGUCAUGUUACCCAUCUGCCAAGGGAUCGCGACUUCCCAUACACCUCUACCGAGGAGGCGAGGCAUGUUAACAGUACGAGGCCUUUACAAAGUUCCACUAGCUUCAGAAAACCCGCUAUAGUUUCUAGGAAGCUCCAAUGCAGGGAUCCCUCGUCUGACCGCCAUCGCAGCAAAAUCAACCCAAGGACCUCCCUACACUGACCACUCCCCUACUGCCCUUGCCCCUUUCGGGUAAGGUAGUCCUCCACUAGCUUUCCUAAUUAGUCAGCCAAGAGCGUCCCAUACCACCCUUGUGGUAGCACUGUUUUCCCGGGUGGUUCUCCAUGUUCCAAUUAACAUAAUGAUCUUAUCAUUAAUAGUAAAUAACAAACUGAUAAUAAAAGUAGGGUCAUGAAUAAUGUGUAUAUGCAUACCCAAAACCACAUAAAGCAAUAGCAGGUACUACCCAAAUAAAUUCAGUGGUAAACAAGGUAUAAAGAUAGUCAAACUAGGUUAACCUAUUGGGUCCCAUCAAAAUUAACCUAUGCAGAUUAUUAUGAUUAAUAAGAACAUGACUGGGUAAAAAGAAGUGAUCAAGGGCACAACUUGCUUGGGACUUAAGAUUCUAGGUACCAACUUGCUCUUCAGGUGACUCAUAACCUCGCGCUAGUCGUAGCAAUACAAACAAACAAUGUAUAGGCAAAAUUAACAUCACAUCAAACAUAAGUACAAACUGAAUAAUAAUGAUCUACGCGAACCUACGAGAUCGUGGGUUCAAGAACCACUAAAUUCGGAAUUACGGUUAUAGAGUUAUGAUUUUCUGAAGAUUCACGUGGUUAAAUAUUAAACUAUAUUAUAAAUUGGUUAAUAUACACCAUAUGAGAGACUAUCCUAUAAAUAAUUAACUUUUAAUCUUGAUUAUAACCUGAUUCGGAAUCAUAUUUUAAUCAUAUUAUAGAUAGGUUAUCUUUAAUUAGCAAACUUAAUCCACUAAACACAAAUUAAUCAAUAUCCAUUUAUAAGAAUAUGUGUUAUGAUAAAAUUAAUGUUGUUAUUGCAUGGACAAUGUUUUUAUGAAGCUAACGAAACUUGAACGCAUCCAAUCGGAGUAAAAAUGAGCAACACAUGAAUUUUCUAGGAUUACUUUAUACUUGAAAAUCGAUUUCCAUAUUUUUCUUUUAUUAUUUUCUGCACCAUAUAUACCACAAAUAUUAUUUCUUAGGACUUUGGGGACUAUUCCAUAAAAAUCUGGACCUAAUCGUAAUGGUCUUAAGCCUUUUGUGGAUUGUGGGUUUAAUUCAUAAAUCUAUAGGGGCUCUUUUGAAAAGUUGCUGUCGCGAAGGGGUAUCUCUCGAUCUUAGCCGGUGGAUUACUCCGAUGACCAGGAUCAUAUCAUGGUAUAAAGAACAACUAUGCCUUUUCGACAGUUGGAUUGUAUAUCAACGGUACCGAUUUGUUUGCACACGAUCCAAUUUAGCUCGCCCGAUUGGAUCUCGACGGACAGGAUUUCGUCUGCCAAAUCGGUGCAUGCUCCGAACUGAUCUCCACUCUCCGUAAUAGAAUCAACGACACAAGGCCAUUCCCCUCUUUGCCCACGACCCCAAACACGGCGGCGGCGCCCCAGCACGCGGCGGAGGCCCCGUCGGAAUACCCAAAGAGCUGCAUUGGUGAAGUAAUCGCGACUAGGAACAGAGCGAAACGUAAUUCAUACAAGCGCGAACAUCAAAGAAUGCAUUUUACCACGUAUCGGGGUGACGACGAUGCAACCCAUGGGACACGGCGGCUCCAUGGUGACCGGAGUGCUCGGGUGAGCCGUCCCAUAUUCUAUGGUCCUCAUGCAAACACCGAGACGCCUUGAACACUCUUCUUGUACCGCGGUGAAGUCUCCAACGUGGAUUCCGAUGGUCAAGCGCCGGUGUAGGGGAACCCUGAUGCGGCGGCCACCAUGACUCCCAAUCGUGGAGGCGAACCUCAGACCCACGGUUGGUCAUCCCCCGCACCGGAGCAAUGGCAACCCAUACCGCGCCAUGGCGAAGUUCCCAGGACGGUUCUCAGAAACUGGACGACGCACGCGGCUUCUAUGGCAGCGAGCUCCGUCACUCUAUUAUCUCCCUCUCUCGGUAGCUCGGGUUGGCGGCGUAGCCCUCGACGGCGGCUCGUACAACACGGAUCUAGGGGGUGCCGUAAUGGGCGAAGGGAAGGGUUCUCCUUAUAUGGACAGGCACCGGCCGAAUAAACGGCCAUGGCCGAGUUUGGCGGAAAU
rnacentral:lncRNA from 1 species